rnacentral:tRNA from 1 species
UAUGUUUUAGUAUUGUAUGUAUAGAAAUUUUUGAUAUUUCUGGUGAUAGUUAAGUCUAUUAAACAUAA